CCGCCCGCCCUGUCUUGGUCGCCGCCGGCCGAUCAGCGUGUGCCUGGCAACUUCCUAGCCGGAAACUUCCCGGCCGUCGUCAAGAGCAGGGCACCCCCUCGGGCUAGAGACGGCGUCCGGAAUAGGAUUCCUCGGCGG
rnacentral:miRNA from 1 species